CUCAAUGUGAAAACAUCAUCAUCAGCAGCAGCAUCAACGUCGUCAAAAAACAGAACAAACAUUAAUUCUGCAGCAGCCAAACAGAGUUCAACAGGUGUUGAUUGGUGAGCUGGUGCUCGUUGCCAUGACAAUGGUGAGUGCAGUCCUGAGGAUGAUGGGAAAUGUUUCUGUGUCGACUUUGACUCGGCCAAAAGAAAUCUUGAAGGAGACGAAGAAAACCAUCUACAGCAAACCUCCCCGAAACAAGAUCAGCGCUGCGCAAAGUUUCUUUGUCAUGUCUGUGUUCACGGUGGCCAUGUUGACCCCCGCUGCCUGGAUUCUUCAUCACCUGCCAGAGUACCGCCAGAGGGCCCGCCAGAGACCCAAAACCUGAACAUCAUCUUCAUCAUCUUCUUCUUCACCACGAACAGCUGGAGGAAGUUCACACAUCAACAUAUUAACAAUCAACAAAUAUUUCACACUAACAGUUUGUCAUGAAUAGAAAUCGUUUUGAAAUCUGCAAGUUCUCGAUAUUAAAAUGUGAACACAGUUUUAAUGAAGACAUCGUCACACCUGAACAGAGCUGUCACUUCAAAAUAAAAGCUUCCUGGCUCUU